UCAACCUACCUUUCCGUCCGGGAUAACUAGCCGAAAGGUUAGCUAAUACCUGAUGCGAUCUUCGAGCGGCAUCGCUUGAUGAUGAAAGCAGUAAUGCGCGGAUUGAGGGGGCUGCGGCCCAUUAGCUAGUUGGUGAGGUAACGGCCCACCAAGGCUACGAUGGGUAGCUGGUCUGAGAGGACGACCAGCCACACUGGGACUGAGACACGGCCCAG
rnacentral:rRNA from 1 species